rnacentral:rRNA from 1 species
CUGGAAUCGCUAGUAAUCGCGAAUCAGAAUGUCGCGGUGAAUACGUUCCCGGGUCUUGUACACACCGCCCGUCACACCAUGGGAGUCGGAUAUGCCCGAAGUCAGUGACCCAACCAUAUGGAGGGAGCCGCCGAAGGUGGAGCCGAUAACUGGGGUGAAGUCGUAACAAGGUAAC